CCUACGGGUGACAGCAGUGGGGAAUAUUGGGCAAUGGGCGCAAGCCUGACCCAGCAACGCCGCGUGAAGGAAGAAGGCUUUCGGGUUGUAAACUUCUUUUCUGAGGGACGAAGAAAGUGCCGGUACCUCAGGAAUAAGCCACGGCUAACUACGUGCCAGCAACCGCGGUAAUACGUAGGUGGCAAGCGUUAUCCGGAUUUAUUGGGUGGAAAGGGCGUGUAGGCGGGAAAGCAAGUCAGAUGUGAAAACUCAGGGCUUAACCCUAAUCCUGCAUUUGAAACUGUUUUUCUUGAGUGCUGGAGGGGCAAUCGGAAUUCCGUGUGUAGCGGUGAAAUGCGUAGAUAUACGGAGGAACACCAGUGGCGAAGGCGGAUUGCUGGACAGUAACUGACGCUGAGGCGCGAAAGCGUGGGGAGCAAACAGGAUUAGAUACCCCAGUAGUC
rnacentral:rRNA from 1 species